CUGAAGUGAUUGAUCCCAUGCUUCCAGGAAAAGCCACUAAGCUUCAGCUGAUAUUGAACCGUACCGCAAACCGACACAGGUGGGCAGGUUGAGAAUACUAAGGCGCUUGAGAGAACUCGGGAGAAGGAACUCGGCAAAUUGACACCGUAACUUCGGGAGAAGGUGUGCCCCGGUAGCGUGAAGGCCCUGCGGCUGGAGCGUGAUGGGGUUGCAGUGAACUGGUGGCUGCGACUGUUUAUCAAAAACACAGCACUCUGCUAACACGAAAGUGGACGUAUAGGGUGUGACGCCUGCCCGGUGCUGGAAGAUUAAAUGAUGGGGUGCAAGCUCUUGAUUGAAGUCCCAGUAAACGGCGGCCGUAACUAUAACGGUCCUAAGGUAGCGAAAUUCCUUGUCGGGUAAGUUCCGACCCGCACGAAUGGCGUAACGAUGGCCACACUGUCUCCUCCCGAGACUCAGCGAAGUUGAAGUGUUUGUGAAGAUGCAAUCUCCCCGCUGCUAGACGGAAAGACCCCGUGAACCUUUACUGUAGCUUUGCAUUGGACUUUGAACAGACUUGUGUAGGAUAGGUGGGAGGCUAAGAAGUGGCGACGCUAGUUGUCAUGGAGCCGUCCUUGAAAUACCACCCUGGUGUGUUUGAGGUUCUAACCUGGGCCCAUUAGCUGGGUCGGGGACCGUGCAUGGUAGGCAGUUUGACUGGGGCGGUCUCCUCCCAAAGUGUAACGGAGGAGCUCGAAGGUUACCUAGGUACGGUCGGACAUCGUACUGAUAGUGUAAUGGCAAAAGGUAGCUUAACUGCGAGACCGACAAGUCGAGCAGGUGCGAAAGCAGGACAUAGUGAUCCGGUGGUUCUGAAUGGAAGGGCCAUCGCUCAACGGAUAAAAGGUACUCCGGGGAUAACAGGCUGAUUCCGCCCAAGAGUUCACAUCGACGGCGGAGUUUGGCACCUCGAUGUCGGCUCAUCACAUCCUGGGGCUGUAGCCGGUCCCAAGGGUAUGGCUGUUCGCCAUUUAAAGUGGUACGUGAGCUGGGUUCAAAACGUCGUGAGACAGUUUGGUCCCUAUCUGCAGUGGGCGUUGGAAGUUUGAGGGGGGCUGCUCCUAGUACGAGAGGACCGGAGUGGACUGACCUCUGGUGUACCGGUUGUCACGCCAGUGGCAUUGCCGGGUAGCUAAGUCGGGAAUAGAUAAGCGCUGAAAGCAUCUAAGUGCGAAACUAGCCUCAAGAUGAGACUUCCCUGGGCCUUUAAGGCCCCUAAAGGAUCGUUCGAGACCAGGACGUUGAUAGGUCGGGUGUGGAAGCGCAGUAAUGCGUUAAGCUAACCGAUACUAAUAGCCCGUGCGGCUUGAUCCU
rnacentral:rRNA from 1 species